rnacentral:lncRNA from 1 species
UAAUUUUUCAUACAUAAAUAUCAUUUCUGGCCUGAGAGAAGGACAUGCAAAUAAAAUAGGAAAAUAUUUUAUAAAAUAAUUAUUUUAUGAUUUUUGAGAAUUACAAUAGUUCUAAAACCAUAAUACAAUCUUUGGGUGAAGGCACUCCCUUGAAAUCAGGGACUUGUAGUGCAAACCCAAAGCAAGGUUUUUGAAAUAGUCAAAAUCGGAAAAGGAUCUUUUUAGAAAUAUCAUGUUAUAAUAUAUGAUUUUUGGAUCCACUCAUGCAAGCAUACAUACAAACAAUAGCAUUCAUGGCACUCAUAGCACUUGCUUAAUAUUUUUUAAUAAACUCAGAUUUUGAAAAGGCUACAUUUGAAGUGAGGUAAAAAGAAGGUAUGGCAAUUACAUAAUGAUCAAAUGUUGACAUAGGACAUGAAAGACAACAUAAUGGUGAUGGUAUUUCACAUUCAUAUAAAAGUUAUAUUGUCAUGCAUCCUUUAACAUGUGAUGCUUGCUUUAGAUCUUUUGCUAGCCAAAAAAAUUCACACUAAUUAAGUAGAGAUACUACUUGUGCAUCCUUAACCCUGGAACUCGGUUUCUUGCCAUGAGAGUCCACCAUACCUAUUCAUGAAUUGAGUAAGAUUCUUCGAGUAAGUUAUCAUCGAUGCACCAAACAAUACAAAGUUGCUAGGAUAUCACUGACUAUCUAACCAUCUAACAACAAGUUAGUUUGUUGAUCGGCUUUAUUAUUAUUAAGUAAACAUGUAGCUCUUGUUAACAUC